rnacentral:rRNA from 1 species
ACGGGUGAGUAACACGUGGGUAACCUGCCCUUAAGUGGGGGAUAACAUUUGGAAACAGAUGCUAAUACCGCAUAAAUCCAAGAACCGCAUGGUCUUGGCUGAAAGAUGGCGUAAGCUAUCGCUUUUGGAUGGACCCGCGGCGUAUUAGCUAGUUGGUGAGGUAACGGCUCACCAAGGCAAUGAUACGUAGCCGAACUGAGAGGUUGAUCGGCCACGUUGGGACUGAGACACGGCCCAAACUCCUACGGGAGGCAGCAUG